rnacentral:rRNA from 1 species
CCAAUAGCGUAUAUUAAAGUUGUUGCAGUUAGAAAGCUCGUAGUUGAACCUUAGGCCCGUGCGGGCGGUCCGUCCUCAGGGCGAGCACUGCCUCGUCGCGGGUCUCACCUUUCUGGCGAGCGUGGAUGCCAUUCAUUUGGUGUCUGCGGGAACCAGGACCUUUACCUUGAAAAAAUUAGAGUGCUCAAGGCGGGCUCUUACGCUUGAAUACAUUAGCAUGGAAUAAUGAAAUAGGACGACGGUUCUAUUUUGUUGGUUUCCGGGACCGUCGUAAUGAUUAAUAGGGAUAGUUGGGGGCAUUCGUAUUCAAUUGUCAGAGGUGAAAUUCUUGGAUUUAUUGAAGACGGACUACUGCGAAAGCAUUUGCCAAGGAUGUUUUCAUUAAUCAAGAACGAAAGUUGGGGGAUCGAAGACGAUCAGAUACCGUCGUAGUCUCAACCAUAAACUAUGCCGACUGGGAAUCGGGCGAUGUUAUUUUUCGUGACUCGCUCGGCGCCCCGAG